rnacentral:rRNA from 1 species
UUUUAUUGCAUGUCUGUAGUCCUGGACACACCCAAUCCUGUCUGAUCUGUGAAGCUAAGCAGGGUUGGGCCCAGAGUUGAUUAGUCACUGGAAGGGAGACUGCCUCCACCAGGUGCUGUAAGGU